UACGUAGGGUGCGAGCGUUACUCGGAAUUACUGGGCGUAAAGCGUGCGCAGGCGGUUGUGCAAGACAGAUGUGAAAUCCCCGGGCUUAACCUGGGAACUGCAUUUGUGACUGGACGGCUAGAGUACGGCAGAGGGGGAUGGAAUUCCGCGUGUAGCAGUGAAAUGCGUAGAUAUGCGGAGGAACACCGAUGGCGAAGGCAGUCCCCUGGGCCUGUACUGACGCUCAUGCACGAAAGCGUGGGGAGCAAACAGG
rnacentral:rRNA from 1 species